rnacentral:rRNA from 1 species
CAGCAGCCGCGGUAAUACGGAGGAUGCAAGCGUUAUCCGGAUUUAUUGGGUUUAAAGGGUGCGUAGGCGGAUUAAUAAGUCAGUGGUGAAAACCUGCAGCUUAACUGUAGACUUGCCAUUGAUACUGUUAGUCUUGAGUACGGUCAAGGUAGGCGGAAUGUGUAAUGUAGCGGUGAAAUGCUUAGAUAUUACACAGAACACCGAUUGCGAAGGCAGCUUACUGGGCCAUUACUGACGCUGAGGCACGAAAGCGUGGGGAGCGAACAGGAUUAGAUACCCUGGUAGUCCACGCCGUAAACGAUGAUCACUCGCUGUUGGCGAUACACAGUCAGCGGCUAAGCAAAAGCAUUAAGUGAUCCACCUGGGGAGUACGGCCGCAAGGCUGAAACUCAAAGGAAUUGACGGGGGCCCGCACAAGCGGAGGAACAUGUGGUUUAAUUCGAUGAUACGCGAGGAACCUUACCUGGGCUUAAAUGUAGAGUGCAUGAGGUGGAAACAUCUCUUCCCUUCGGGGCUCUUUACAAGGUGCUGCAUGGUUGUCGUCAGCUCGUGCCGUGAGGUGUCGGGUUAAGUCCCAUAACGAGCGCCACCCCUAUCGUUAGUUGCCAGCGGGUAAUGCCGGGAACUCUAACGAAACUGCCGGUGUAAACCGUGAGGAAGGUGGGGAUGACGUCAAAUCAGCACGGCCCUUAUGUCCAGGGCUACACACGUGUUACAAUGGCCGGUACAGAGGGCAGCUACCUGGAGACAGGAUGCGAAUCUCCAAAGCCGGUCUCAGUUCGGAUCGGAGUCUGCAACUCGACUCCGUGAAGCUGGAUUCGCUAGUAAUCGCGCAUCAGCCACGGCGCGGUGAAUACGUUCCCGGGCCUUGUACACACCGCCCGUCAAGCCAUGGAAGUUGGGAGUACCUGAAGUCCGUAACCGUAAGGAGCGGCCUAAGGUAAAACUAGUGACUGGGGCUAAGUCGUAACAAGGUAACCGUA